rnacentral:rRNA from 1 species
UGCGAGCGUUAAUCGGAAUUACUGGGCGUAAAGCGUGCGCAGGCGGCUUUGCAAGACAGAGGUGAAAUCCCCGGGCUCAACCUGGGAACUGCCUUUGUGACUGCAAGGCUAGAGUACGGCAGAGGGGGAUGGAAUUCCGCGUGUAGCAGUGAAAUGCGUAGAUAUGCGGAGGAACACCGAUGGCGAAGGCAAUCCCCUGGGCCUGUACUGACGCUCAUGCACGAAAGCGUGGGGAGCAAACAGGAUUAGAUACCCUGGUAGUCAAGGGCG